ACCGAUGCAGUUUUUGAGGAUGGCCUUGGAUUUGCUUCCACUGUUUUCAUUGAAUUGUAUCAAUCUUUUGCCGAGAAAAGGUUUGUGAUAGGCAGGGCAGUUUCCAGCAUUCUAGGAUGGAUACCAGAGCUAAAUUGGCUUCAGAUGCUUUAAUGAUACACGAUGUGUUGUCAACGUGGCCUCAUGAACAUUUGGUAUCCUGAUACUUAUUCAUCGAGAUCUGUUUACUCUCGGCAUUUUCAGAUAGAGAAUCAUGGCUUGAAUUAAUACUGAGCAUAUCACUGGUUUUUCUGUCAUCAUGCUGCAGGUUUGAGUGUUGGAAAUGGUAACGCACACAUGGAAAGAGUUAGCAUGGAGGCUCUCACUUGCAACUGUUGGAGAAUUAAACAACCGCUUUUGAAACAGGGACCGAUGCCGGAUGUACGUCGGUGUUUGAAUGAGUCUCACCUUUUCUUGUUAUUCUUUUUGUAAAAAAUGAUCAAUAGUAUUUGGAACUCGAAACUCAGCGUCUUUUUAUCUUCAACGGUCACAACUUUUCUAUUUCUGUAUAAAUAUAGCAGCUUCAUUAACAGGUAUAAUAUAGAAUUUGUUGUAUUCCUG